GAGUUUGAUCGUGGCUCAGAUUGAACGCUGGCGGCAGGCCUAACACAUGCAAGUCGAGCGGAUGAAGGGAGCUUGCUCCUGGAUUCAGCGGCGGACGGGUGAGUAGUGCCUAGGAAUCUGCCUGGUAGUGGGGGAUAACGUCCGGAAACGGGCGCUAAUACCGCAUACGUCCUGAGGGAGAAAGUGGGGGAUCUUCGGACCUCACGCUAUCAGAUGAGCCUAGGUCGGAUUAGCUAGUUGGUGGGGUAAAGGCCUACCAAGGCGACGAUCCGUAACUGGUCUGAGAGGAUGAUCAGUCACACUGGAACUGAGACGCGGUCCAGACUCCUACGGGAGGCAGCAGUGGGGAAUAUUGGACAAUGGGCGAAAGCCUGAUCCAGCCAUGCCGCGUGUGUGAGAAGGUCUUCGGAUUGUAAAGCACUUUAAGUUGGGAGGAGGGCAGUAAGUUAAUACCUUGCUGUUUGACGUUACCAACAGAAUAAGCACCGGCUAAC
rnacentral:rRNA from 1 species